CUUCGAAGCUUUUACCAGACACACUUCCAACCAACCGUCCAUUCCAUCCAUGGUUCGCUUGCACCACAAAUUCGUCUUCUCCAUCUCCUUCCACAUUCGCAGGAGAAAUCAGAGACGCCAGAAUACCUAAAAGAGCCAUAGAAAAAGCACCAGGGGGGGUCGGAUCCCCCUAGGGUCCUUGAUUGUUCGUUUUGAUCCACCUGCAGAAUUAAGAGCAGCCUCUGCUCUGUUUCUCUGUCGGCUCGCAGGCACAUACACGCGUUGGGAGUCGUGGCUGAUUUCUCUGUUUGAUCUCUCCUUUUAUUAGCAAUUCCUCGAAUCGUUGGGUUGAAUUUGAGUUGGGAGAUCAAAUGACGACGGAUUGCUGGCACAAAAUCAUGAGGCCGAUGAAGAAAGUGUGGAAGAAAGUCUCCACACGUAUGGGCCUUCGCAAAUCUGGUCACGUAAAGCUUCACCACGACGUCCUGCAAUGCGAGUAUGAGGAUGUCCACGUCUUAUGGGACAUGCUCAAGAGAAAAGACAUAGACCUCUCAAGAAGCAGGAAGAAGGGACCCUUUUGGGACCUGGUUGAAUGGGCAAAGCACUCUCCCUUGAUUUGCCGAGCUGCUUAAUCGAUCAUCCAUCCAGUUCCCUGACGGUACAUGAUCAUCGUCCAUAACUACAAAUGCAAUGCAUAAUAUCGUCGUUAAGUAUAUAUAUGUAUGUGGGUGAUUCACCGGAAGUGCAUUAUCAUCUAUAUGUUGCCGUAGUCGGUUUGUCUUUUUUGUUUGCCUUGUAUCAUUCUUACAAUUAUAAUUGUAAGAACUACCUUUGAAGCGUCGUGUUGUAUCGAUGUGCUCAAGGUGUAGAAUGCAAUUUGAUGAAUCUCCCUCCUUUCUAAACUGCAUUUCUGUGUCUGUAUAGAAAGAUUGCCAUCAAAUGUGCCUGUGGCCGCAGAGCUAUAUUUCCCAGUAUUUUACGUACUUGUAAGUGUUAUGGAAAAUGGUCUGUACAUUUAUAAAAUAUAUCUGAAUUUACAUAUAAUGUGUGCUUUGUAUUUGUGAUUAAAUAGUUGUACAAUGUGAUAUUUUGCAAAGAAAAAAAAAAAAUGAAAAAAUUA